CAGCCGCCACGGGAAUACGUAGGUGGCAAGCGUUGUCCGGAAUUAUUGGGCGUAAAGGGCUCGCAGGCGGUUUCUUAAGUCUGAUGUGAAAGCCCCCGGCUCAACCGGGGAGGGUCAUUGGAAACUGGGAAACUUGAGUGCAGAAGAGGAGAGUGGAAUUCCACGUGUAGCGGUGAAAUGCGUAGAGAUGCGGAGGAACACCAGUGGCGAAGGCGACUCUCUGGUCUGUAACUGACGCUGAGGAGCGAAAGCGUGGGGAGCGAACAGGAUUAGAUACCCCCGUAGUCCCUGUCUCUUAUAC
rnacentral:rRNA from 1 species